GUGCUCCCUUCAGUGGCACAUAUACUAAAAUUGGAACAAUACAGAGGAGAUUAGCACAGUCCCUGAGUAAGAAUGACAUGCAAAUUUGUGAAGUGUUUCAUAUUCUU
rnacentral:snRNA from 1 species